AAUCAACGCUGGCGGCGUGCCUCAGACAUGCAAGUCGAACGAUUAAGACUUCCUUCGGGAAGUGUAUAAAGUGGCGCACGGGUGAGUAACACGUAAGUAAUCUACCUUCGAGUGGGGAAUAACAUCGGGAAACCGAUGCUAAUACCGCAUAAUGCAGCGGCAUCGCAAGAUGACAGUUGUCAAAGGAGCAAUUCGCUUGAAGAGGAGCUUGCGGCAGAUUAGCUAGUUGGUAAGGUAUGGCUUACCAAGGCUACGAUCUGUAUCCGGUCUAAGAGGACGGUCGGACACACUGACACUGAAUAACGGGUCAGACUCCUACGGGAGGCAGCAGUCGGGAAUUUUGGGCAAUGGGCGAAAGCCUGACCUAGCAACGCCGCGUGAGGGAUGAAGUAUUUCGGUAUGUAAACCUCGAAAGAAUGGGAAGAAUAAAUGACGGUACCAUUUAUAAGCUCCGGCUAACUACGUGCCAGCCGCCGCCGUAACAC
rnacentral:rRNA from 1 species